rnacentral:tRNA from 1 species
GAUGGUAUACCUCAGUGGCAGAGUGCAUGCUUAGCAUGCAAGAGGUCCUGGGUUCAAUUCCCAGUACCUCCG